rnacentral:rRNA from 1 species
AUUGAACGCUGGCGGCAGGCCUAACACAUGCAAGUCGAGCGGAGCGGCGGACGGGUGAGUAAUGCCUAGGAAUCUGCCUGGUAGUGGGGGAUAACGUCCGCUAACGGGCGCUAAUACCGCAUACUAUUACCUGAGCCUAGGUCGGAUUAGCUAGUUGGUGGGGUAAAGGGCUACCAAGGCGACGAUCCGUAACUGGUCUGAGAGGAUGAUCAGUCACACUGGAACUGAGACACGGUCCAGACUCCUACGGGAGGCAGCAGUGGGGAAUAUUGGACAAUGGGCGAAAGCCUGAUCCAGCCAUGACGCGUGGGUGAAGAAGGUCUUCGAGUUGUAAAGCACUUUAAGUUGGGAGGCGGUACCAGCAGAAUAAGCACCGGCUAACUUCGUGCCAGCAGCCGCGGUAAUUC